GGGGAUAUAGCUCAGUUGGUAGAGUGCUUGCCUUGCAUGCACAAAGCCCUGGGUUCAAUCCCCAGCAGCACAA
rnacentral:tRNA from 1 species